rnacentral:rRNA from 1 species
CAGGCUUAACACAUGCAAGUCGAGGGGCAGCAUGGUCUUAGCUUGCUAAGGCCGAUGGCGACCGGCGCACGGGUGAGUAACACGUAUCCAACCUGCCGUCUACUCUUGGACAGCCUUCUGAAAGGAAGAUUAAUACAAGAUGGCAUCAUGAGUCCGCAUGUUCACAUGAUUAAAGGUAUUCCGGUAGACGAUGGGGAUGCGUUCCAUUAGAUAGUAGGCGGGGUAACGGCCCACCUAGUCUUCGAUGGAUAGGGGUUCUGAGAGGAAGGUCCCCCACAUUGGAACUGAGACACGGUCCAAACUCCUACGGGAGGCAGCAGUGAGGAAUAUUGGUCAAUGGGCGAGAGCCUGAACCAGCCAAGUAGCGUGAAGGAUGACUGCCCUAUGGGUUGUAAACUUCUUUUAUAAAGGAAUAAAGUCGGGUAUGGAUACCCGUUUGCAUGUACUUUAUGAAUAAGGAUCGGCUAACUCCGUGCCAGCAGCCGCGGUAAUACGGAGGAUCCGAGCGUUAUCCGGAUUUAUUGGGUUUAAAGGGAGCGUAGAUGGAUGUUUAAGUCAGUUGUGAAAGUUUGCGGCUCAACCGUAAAAUUGCAGUUGAUACUGGAUAUCUUGAGUGCAGUUGAGGCAGGCGGAAUUCGUGGUGUAGCGGUGAAAUGCUUAGAUAUCACGAAGAACUCCGAUUGCGAAGGCAGCCUGCUAAGCUGCAACUGACAUUGAGGCUCGAAAGUGUGGGUAUCAAACAGGAUUAGAUACCCUGGUAGUCCACACGGUAAACGAUGAAUACUCGCUGUUUGCGAUAUACGGCAAGCGGCCAAGCGAAAGCGUUAAGUAUUCCACCUGGGGAGUACGCCGGCAACGGUGAAACUCAAAGGAAUUGACGGGGGCCCGCACAAGCGGAGGAACAUGUGGUUUAAUUCGAUGAUACGCGAGGAACCUUACCCGGGCUUAAAUUGCAGAUGAAUUACGGUGAAAGCCGUAAGCCGCAAGGCAUCUGUGAAGGUGCUGCAUGGUUGUCGUCAGCUCGUGCCGUGAGGUGUCGGCUUAAGUGCCAUAACGAGCGCAACCCUUGUUGUCAGUUACUAACAGGUUCCGCUGAGGACUCUGACAAGACUGCCAUCGUAAGAUGUGAGGAAGGUGGGGAUGACGUCAAAUCAGCACGGCCCUUACGUCCGGGGCUACACACGUGUUACAAUGGGGGGUACAGAGGGCCGCUACCACGCGAGUGGAUGCCAAUCCCCAAAACCUCUCUCAGUUCGGACUGGAGUCUGCAACCCGACUCCACGAAGCUGGAUUCGCUAGUAAUCGCGCAUCAGCCACGGCGCGGUGAAUACGUUCCCGGGCCUUGUACACACCGCCCGUCAAGCCAUGGGAGCCGGGGGUACCUGAAGUGCGUAACCGCGAGGAGCGCCCUAGGGUAAAACUGGUGACUGGGGCUAA